GGAUAAUCUACCCUUAGGACCGGGAUAACCCUGGGAAACUGGGGAUAAUACUGGAUAGGCAAUUAUUCCUGUAAUGGUUUUUUGUUUAAAUGUUUUUUCGCCUAAGGAUGAGUCUGCGGCCGAUUAGGUAGUUGGUUAGGUAAUGGCUUACCAAGCCGUUGAUCGGUACGGGUUGUGAGAGCAAGAGCCCGGAGAUGGAACCUGAGACAAGGUUCCAGGCCCUACGGGGUGCAGCAGGCGCGAAACCUCCGCAAUGUGAGAAAUCGCGACGGGGGGAUCCCAAGUGCCAUUCUUAACGGGAUGGCUUUUCAUUAGUGUAAAGAGCUUUUGGAAUAAGAGCUGGGCAAGACCGGUGCCAGCCGCCGCGGUAACACCGGCAGCUCUAGUGGUAACAAUUUUUAUUGGGCCUAAAGCGUCCGUAGCCGGUUUAAUAAGUCUCUGGUGAAAUCCUGCAGCUUAACUGUGGGAAUUGCUGGAGAUACUAUUAGACUUGAGACCGGGAGAGGUUAGAGGUACUCCCAGGGUAGAGGUGAAAUUCUGUAAUCCUGGGAGGACCGCCUGUUGCGAAGGCGCCUAACUGGAACGGUUCUGACGGUGAGGGACGAAAGUUAGGGGCGCGAACCGGAUUAGAUACCCGGGUAGUCCUAACUGUAAACGAUGCGGACUUGGUGUUGGGGUGGCUUUGAGCUGCUUCAGUGCCGAAGGGAAGCUGUUAAGUCCGCCGCCUGGGAAGUACGGUCGCAAGGCUGAAACUUAA
rnacentral:rRNA from 1 species